rnacentral:sRNA from 1 species
ACACAGUACUCGGCCACACCAUGGGGCGCCCACUGCACCUCGUCCUGCUCAGUGCCUCCCUGGCUGGCCUCCUGCUGCUCGGGGAAAGUCUGUUCAUCCGCAGGGAGCAGGCCAACAACAUCCUGGCGAGGGUCACGAGGGCCAAUUCCUUUCUCGAAGAGAUGAAGAAAGGACACCUCGAAAGAGAGUGCAUGGAAGAGACCUGCUCAUACGAAGAGGCCCGCGAGGUCUUUGAGGACAGCGACAAGACGCCCGCGUCCUGCCUUGGCCUCCGUAGUCGCUGAGAGCCACAGCCUAGAGCGCCAGCGCGCAGGCGCACAACUGACGCCAGGCCACGAACCCAGUACUGCGCCUGCACAGCAGAAGCACUAGCACUGAGGCUGGGCCGCGAACCCGGCACUGCGCCUGCGCAGCAAAAGGACACGCACUGAGGCCAGGCCGCGAGCCCAGCACGGUGCCUGCGCAGCAGGCAGACCGGCAUCCACACCGGACGACGAACCCAGCACCGCGUCUGCGCAGUAGGAGGAGAGCAAUGACACCAGGCCGCGAUUGCGCAGCCGCAGC